UAGCGGAGCGUGUGGUUUAAUUCGAAGCAACGCGAAGAACCUUACCAGGUCUUGACAUCCCUCUGAAUGGCGCUUAGCAGCGCAGGUCUUUCGGGACAGAGGAGACAGGUGGUGCAUGGUUGUCGUCAGCCUCGUGUCGUGAGAUGUUGGGUUAAGUCCCGCAACGAGCGCAACCCUUGCCUUUAGUUGCCAGCACAUUAUGGUGGGCACUCUAGAGGGACUGCCGGUGACAAACCGGAGGAAGGUGGGGAUGACGUCAAAUCAUCAUGCCCCUUAUGAUCUGGGCUACACACGUGCUACAAUGGCCGGUACAACGAGAAGCGAAACCGCGAGGUGAAGCAAAUCUUUUAAAGCCGGUCCCAGUUCGGAUUGCAGGCUGAAACUCGCCUGCAUGAAGUUGGAGUUGCUAGUAACCGCAUAA
rnacentral:rRNA from 1 species